AUUGAACGCUGGCGGCAGGCCUAACACAUGCAAGUCGAACGAGUGGCGGACGGGUGAGUAAUGACUGGGAAACUGCCUGAUGGAGGGGGAUAACUACUGGAAACGGUAGCUAAUACCGCAUACCAUCGGAUGUGCCCAGAUGGGAUUAGCUAGUCGGUGGGGUAACGGCUCACCUAGGCGACGACCCCUAGAUGGUCUGAGAGGAUGAACAGCCACACUGGACACGAGAGACGGUCCAGACUCCUACGGGAGGCAGCAGUGGGGAAUAUGGCACAAUGGGCGCAAGCCUGAUGCAGCCAUGCCGCGGGUAUGAAGAAGGCCUUCGGGUUUUAAAGUACUUUCAGCGUGGAGGCGUUACUCGCAGAAGAAGCACCGGCUAACUCCGUGCCAGCAGCCGCGGUAAUAC
rnacentral:rRNA from 1 species